rnacentral:rRNA from 1 species
UACAGAGGGGGCAAGCGUUGCUCGGAAUUAUUGGGCGUAAAGCGCACGUAGGCGGCUAUCUAAGUCGGAUGUGAAAUCCCUCGGCUUAACCAAGGAAGUGCACCCGAAACUGGAUAGCUUGAGUACAGAAGAGGAUCGCGGAAUUCCCGGUGUAGAGGUGAAAUUCGUAGAUAUCGGGAGGAACACCAGUGGCGAAGGCGGCGAUCUGGGCUGAUACUGACGCUGAGGUGCGAAAGCGUGGGGAGCAAACAGG